AGCCCAACAUAGGACUCGAUCCCACCACCCCGGGAUCGUGACCUAAGCAGAAAUCAAGAGUCAGACACUCAACUGACCGAACCACCCAGGUGCCCCGACAUUGACAUUUUGGAAGGGUCCAGGCCUGUUCCUGUGUAGAAUUCCCCCCAAUUCGGGCUUGUCUGCUGGUUCACAAUUAGGCUCAGCUUACACAUUUCCGGCAGGGAUAGUGCAGAGACGCUAACUUCUUCCCCGUCGGUAGUCACGUGACCUUACGUGUAACUUAUCUCACUCCUGGCAAUAACUUGAUUACUUGGUUCGAGGGAUGUCUGCUGGAUUUCUCCCGUCUUUCACCCUCCAAACGUCCAGCCACUCAGUUUCAGCUUCCUUGCUGACCUGUGCCCGACGCCAUCACGAUGACCACAGUUGGCGGGAGGCGCAUUUGUGCUUGUCUCGUCCUCCCGCGUCCUCGUCCUAUGCCGGGGAGAGCUGCCCUCCCCUCCCCCCCACCCCCGCCCCCAGCGCUGGCCCAUGACCUUCCCCUGAGGAUGGACUGUGGAUUCCUCAUCCAGCAGAUUCGAUCCUUCGCUAUCAUUAUUUAUCGCAGGCACAAGACACUCCAGAUCUCGACAGUGGGGUCCCGCGAGGCUGGCUUGUCGUCUUCUGACGCGACUCCAUCGUGAGCGAAGCUUGUCCUUACUUUUCGAAGCCACCGAGUGUGGAGGUUGUUUGGAUUGGAGACGCAGGCUCUGGCUUGACCACCCUGGAGGCGGUUUUCUUUGCGAAGAAGCUCGCCCUUGGGGGGUCCCAGGGUCUGGACGCAGGGGGACCGCCUCUGCCCAGGUCCUGCAGACCUCCCCGCCCAGGACCCGCCACCGCGUGCUGCCUGCAGGACCCCCGGAAACACGCCCCUCUUCUGCCUCAAAACCUCCCAGCCCCACCCCUUCCUCCGAGAAGCCCUCCGGGUUCCCUCCCCGGGCAGGCCGUGCUGCUCUUCUGCCACUGCGUCCGCCACAGAAGCUGCACCCUGGACUCCGCCGAGCCCGUUUUACAGUUGGGGAAACUGAGGCCAGGACUGUGCAGUGAGGAGUGCCCGGGUCACACCUGCACCCUCCACCUCGUCCCAGCCGCCCAGGGUCCGGCUCUUCCUGCCUUCGGGGAGCUGAUGUGGGAGAACCUCGGAGCUGCUCUCAGAAACCAAACGUUCUAGAAGACGCUGAGGUCCAGAUAGGGGGAAGUGGACUCGAGGAACCAAAUCGUUCACAACCCGAGGGGCCGGCAGCCCCAGCUUUCCUCUGAGGAGGCCCCUUGCACAUCCCAGGGGACGUCGGGGCGGGGGUGGGGGAUCGACCCUGGAGCGAUGGGCCGGUGUAGAGGUGGUCAGCAAACACCCGUGUGCCCGGUUAGCCCCCGAGGCCCGGCACGCCCAGUGAGAACGAGGUCGCUCAGGAAGAGGCCCAUUUCUCCAGGCGGCUUCCUGAAUGCCAAGCCACACUGCGGCGCUAACCGUGGACCACAGGCCCACAAACUUCCUGGCACUCUCUCCUGCCUGUUUCCUAGAAUCCCCCCCACAAGGCAACUGAGGCUCUUGAACGCCCCUCAGCAGGUGCAGCCGUGCCCACGGGAGGCCUGUGGUCGCCCCCAGAGCCCUGGCGAGUUUCCUCCGCUCUUCGUCCGGAACUCAGACGUGCAGCCUCUUUGAGGCAGCUCGCUUUUUCUGCAAGACGGACCCAGGAACGGUCAAGGGGCUCAGCCUCCCAUCCUAGUGCUGGGGGGGGGGUGGCGUUGGUGGGCUGGCGGGCCACGUGACUUGGGAGGCGCCAGACAUCCCUACCUAACAGAAGUAAAUAAAACCAACGGAUGGCCAAAGCCGUCAUUGUUGAGUUUGUUGUGUAUACACCAAAAAGACAGUUGGCAAAGCCGGGAACACUCAAACCAAAACACAGAAGGGGGCUUGGGGGUGUCCUUAGGGAGCGGCUUCUAUGGUGAGAAAGCAGUGUUCAUUCUCCACAGGGACUGGUUUUCGCAUCAGAAUUUUCCUCAACGGCAGGGAAUUGGUUAGCGGUCCUCUCACAUCAACCUCGGGAAAGAGAGGAAGCUUUGCUCUGAUUUUCAGAGGCACAAUCAAGAAAUGACUUGGGUCGGGGCGCCUGGGUGGCGCAGUCGGUUAAGCGUCCAACUUCAGCCAGGUCACGAUCUCGCGGUCCGUGAGUUUGAG